rnacentral:rRNA from 1 species
GGGUUGUGAGGUUAAGCGACUAAGCGUACACGGUGGAUGCCCUGGCAGUCAGAGGCGAUGAAGGACGUGCUAAUCUGCGAAAAGCGUCGGUAAGGUGAUAUGAACCGUUAUAACCGGCGAUGUCCGAAUGGGGAAACCCAGUGUGAUUCGUCACACUAUCGUUAACUGAAUACAUAGGUUAACGAGGCGAACCGGGGGAACUGAAACAUCUAAGUACCCCGAGGAAAAGAAAUCAACCGAGAUUCCCCCAGUAGCGGCGAGCGAACGGGGAGCAGCCCAGAGUCUGAAUCAGCUUGUGUGUUAGUGGAACGGUCUGGAAAGUCCGACGGUACAGGGUGAUAGUCCCGUACACCAAAAUGCACAGGCUGUGAACUCGAAGAGUAGGGCGGGACACGUGGUAUCCUGUCUGAAUAUGGGGGGACCAUCCUCCAAGGCUAAAUACUCCUGACUGACCGAUAGUGAACCAGUACCGUGAGGGAAAGGCGAAAAGAACCCCGGCGAGGGGAGUGAAAAAGAACCUGAAACCGUGUACGUACAAGCAGUGGGAGCACCUUCGGGUGUGACUGCGUACCUUUUGUAUAAUGGGUCAGCGACUUAUAUUCUGUAGCAAGGUUAACCGUAUAGGGGAGCCGCAGGGAAACCGAGUCUUAACUGGGCGUUAAGUUGCAGGGUAUAGACCCGAAACCCGGUGAUCUAGCCAUGGGCAGGUUGAAGGUUGGGUAACACUAACUGGAGGACCGAACCGACUAAUGUUGAAAAAUUAGCGGAUGACUUGUGGCUGGGGGUGAAAGGCCAAUCAAACCGGGAGAUAGCUGGUUCUCCCCGAAAGCUAUUUAGGUAGCGCCUCGUGAACUCAUCUUCGGGGGUAGAGCACUGUUUCGGCUAGGGGGUCAUCCCGACUUACCAACCCGAUGCAAACUACGAAUACCGAAGAAUGUUAUCACGGGAGACACACGGCGGGUGCUAACGUCCGUCGUGAAGAGGGAAACAACCCAGACCGCCAGCUAAGGUCCCAAAGUCAUGGUUAAGUGGGAAACGAUGUGGGAAGGCACAGACAGCCAGGAUGUUGGCUUAGAAGCAGCCAUCAUUUAAAGAAAGCGUAAUAGCUCACUGGUCGAGUCGGCCUGCGCGGAAGAUGUAACGGGGCUAAACCAUGCACCGAAGCUGCGGCAGCGACACUAUGUGUUGUUGGGUAGGGGAGCGUUCUGUAAGCCUGCGAAGGUGUGCUGUGAGGCAUGCUGGAGGUAUCAGAAGUGCGAAUGCUGACAUAAGUAACGAUAAAGCGGGUGAAAAGCCCGCUCGCCGGAAGACCAAGGGUUCCUGUCCAACGUUAAUCGGGGCAGGGUGAGUCGACCCCUAAGGCGAGGCCGAAAGGCGUAGUCGAUGGGAAACAGGUUAAUAUUCCUGUACUUGGUGUUACUGCGAAGGGGGGACGGAGAAGGCUAUGUUAGCCGGGCGACGGUUGUCCCGGUUUAAGCAUGUAGGCUGGUUAUCCAGGCAAAUCCGGAUAAUCAAGGCUGAGGUGUGAUGACGAGGCACUACGGUGCUGAAGUAACAAAUGCCCUGCUUCCAGGAAAAGCCUCUAAGCAUCAGGUAACAUCAAAUCGUACCCCAAACCGACACAGGUGGUCAGGUAGAGAAUACCAAGGCGCUUGAGAGAACUCGGGUGAAGGAACUAGGCAAAAUGGUGCCGUAACUUCGGGAGAAGGCACGCUGGUGUGUAGGUGAAGCCCCUGCGGGUGGAGCUGAGACCAGUCGAAGAUACCAGCUGGCUGCAACUGUUUAUUAAAAACACAGCACUGUGCAAACACGAAAGUGGACGUAUACGGUGUGACGCCUGCCCGGUGCCGGAAGGUUAAUUGAUGGGGUUAUCCGUAAGGAGAAGCUCUUGAUCGAAGCCCCGGUAAACGGCGGCCGUAACUAUAACGGUCCUAAGGUAGCGAAAUUCCUUGUCGGGUAAGUUCCGACCUGCACGAAUGGCGUAAUGAUGGCCAGGCUGUCUCCACCCGAGACUCAGUGAAAUUGAACUCGCUGUGAAGAUGCAGUGUACCCGCGGCAAGACGGAAAGACCCCGUGAACCUUUACUAUAGCUUGACACUGAACAUUGAGCCUUGAUGUGUAGGAUAGGUGGGAGGCUUUGAAGCGUGGACGCCAGUCUGCGUGGAGCCAACCUUGAAAUACCACCCUUUAAUGUUUGAUGUUCUAACGUUGGCCCCUUACCGGGGUUGCGGACAGUGUCUGGUGGGUAGUUUGACUGGGGCGGUCUCCUCCCAAAGCGUAACGGAGGAGCACGAAGGUUAGCUAAUCCUGGUCGGACAUCAGGAGGUUAGUGCAAUGGCAUAAGCUAGCUUGACUGCGAGCGUGACGGCGCGAGCAGGUGCGAAAGCAGGUCAUAGUGAUCCGGUGGUUCUGAAUGGAAGGGCCAUCGCUCAACGGAUAAAAGGUACUCCGGGGAUAACAGGCUGAUACCGCCCAAGAGUUCAUAUCGACGGCGGUGUUUGGCACCUCGAUGUCGGCUCAUCACAUCCUGGGGCUGAAGUAGGUCCCAAGGGUAUGGCUGUUCGCCAUUUAAAGUGGUACGCGAGCUGGGUUUAGAACGUCGUGAGACAGUUCGGUCCCUAUCUGCCGUGGGCGCUGGAGAAUUGAGGGGGGCUGCUCCUAGUACGAGAGGACCGGAGUGGACGCAUCACUGGUGUUCGGGUUGUCAUGCCAAUGGCACUGCCCGGUAGCUAAAUGCGGAAGAGAUAAGUGCUGAAAGCAUCUAAGCACGAAACUUGCCCCGAGAUGAGUUCUCCCUGAGACUUUAAGUCUCCUGAAGGAACGUUGAAGACGACGACGUUGAUAGGCCGGGUGUGUAAGCGCAGCGAUGCGUUGAGCUAACCGGUACUAAUGAACCGUGAGGCUUAACCUUACAACGCCGAAG